AUUGAACGCUGGCGGCAUGCCUAACACAUGCAAGUCGAACGGCAGCACGGCAGUAGCAAUACUGUGGGUGGCGAGUGGCGGACGGGUGAGGAAUACGUCGGAAUCUGCCCAGUCGUGGGGGAUAACUAGCCGAAAGGUUAGCUAAUACCGCAUACGACCGAGAGGUGAAAGCGGGGGACCGCAAGGCCUCGCGCGAUUGGAUGAGCCGACGUCGGAUUAGCUAGUUGGUGGGGUAAAGGCCCACCAAGGCGACGAUCCGUAGCUGGUCUGAGAGGAUGAUCAGCCACACUGGAACUGAGACACGGUCCAGACUCCUACGGGAGGCAGCAGUGGGGAAUAUUGGACAAUGGGCGCAAGCCUGAUCCAGCAAUGCCGUUUCGGUGUGAAGA
rnacentral:rRNA from 1 species